AGGUAGUAAAAUUAAUUAAAACCUAUUUACAUUGGCGGCUUUUCAUCUUAUCAGAGGAACCUGUUCAAUAAUCGAUAAUCCACGAUAAGUUUUACUUUAAUUAACAAUUUGUAUACCGCCAUCUAAAAAAUUUAUUAUAAAAAAUAUUUUUUAAAAAAUAAAUAAAAAGUUAGGUCAAGGUGUAGUCCACAUUAAUAGCUGAAAUGGGUUACAUUAAAUACAUUUAAGGAUUUUUAAAUUUAAAAUUUUAAAUGAAAAAGGAUUUGUAAGUAAUAAUACUAAUAGUAUUAUGUUAUGAAUAAGAUAACAAAAGUGU
rnacentral:rRNA from 1 species